GAGGAGAUUUGGCAGCAGAGCGUCAUCGGGGACUACCUGGCACGUUUUAAGAACGACCGGGGGAAGGCACUGAAGGCCAUGGAGGCCACUUGGAACAACAUGGAGAAGAAGGAGAAGCUGAUGUGGAUCAAGAAGGCGGCGGAGGAUCAGAAGCGAUACGAGAGGGAGCUGAGCGAGAUGAGGGCUCCCCCGUGCUCCACCAACUCUGCCAAGAAAGUGAAGUUCCAGGGAG